CUUCAACGAGCCGAGCCACAGGGGCUGUUCGAGGUCGCGGUGCUGCCCGUAGGUGGCGAUGAGGGCCUCGGCCUC
rnacentral:antisense_RNA from 1 species